rnacentral:rRNA from 1 species
AUUGAACGCUGGCGGCAGGCCUAACACAUGCAAGUCGAACGAGUGGCGGAGGGGUGAGUAAUGUCUGGUAAACUGCCUGAUGGAGGGGGAUAACUACUGGAACCGGUAGCUAAUACCGCAUACCAUCAUAUGUGCCCAGAUGGGAUUAGCUCGUCGGUGGGGUAAGGGCUCACCAAGGCGACGAUCCCUAGCUGGUCUGAGAGGAUGACAAGCCACACUGGAACUGAGACACGGCCCAGACUCUUAAGGGAGGCAGCAGUGGGGAAUAUUGCACAAUGGGGGAAAGCCUGAUGCAGCCAUGCCGCGUGUAUGAAGAAGGCCUUAGGGUUGUAAAGUACUUUCAGCGGGGAGGCGUUACCCGCAGAAGAAGCACCGGCUAACUCCGUGCCAGCAGCCGCGGUAAUAC